AUUGAACGCUGGCGGCAUGCUUUACACAUGCAAGUCGAACGGUAACAGGCCUUCGGGUGCUGACGAGUGGCGAACGGGUGAGUAAUGCAUCGGAACGUGCCCAGAGGUGGGGGAUAACGCAGCGAAAGCUGUGCUAAUACCGCAUGUGAUCUGAGGAUGAAAGCGGGGGACCAGGCAGCAAUGUUUGGCCUCGCGCCUUUGGAGCGGCCGAUGUCAGAUUAGGUAGUUGGUGGGGUAAAGGCCUACCAAGCCGACGAUCUGUAGCUGGUCUGAGAGGACGACCAGCCACACUGGGACUGAGACACGGCCCAGACUCCUACGGUAGGCAGCAGUGGGGAAUUUUGGACAAAGGGCGCAAGCCUGAUCCAGCAAUGCCGCGUGCGGGAAGAAGGCCUUCGGGUUGUAAACCGCUUUUGUACGGAACGAAAAGGCUCUGGCUAAUACCUGGGGCUGAUGACGGUACCGUAAGAAUAAGCACCGGCUAACUACGUG
rnacentral:rRNA from 1 species